UCGGUUUGGGUGGCGGACGGGUGAGUAACGCGUAAAGAACUUGCCUCACAGACUGGGACAACAUCUGGAAACGGAUGCUAAUACCGGAUAUUAUGAUUUUAGUGCAUGCUAGAAUUAUGAAAGCUAUAUGCGCUGUGAGAGAGCUUUGCGUCCCAUUAGCUAGUUGGAGAGGUAACGGCUCACCAAGGCGAUGAUGGGUAGCCGGCCUGAGAGGGUGAACGGCCACAAGGGGACUGAGACACGGCCCUUACUCCUACGGGAGGCAGCAGUGGGGAAUAUUGGACAAUGGACCGAGAGUCUGAUCCAGCAAUUCUGUGUGCACGAUGAAGUUUUUCGGAAUGUAAAGUGCUUUCAGUUGGGAAGAAAAAAAUGACGGUACCAACAGAAGAAGUGACGGCUAAAUACGUGCCAGCAGCCGCGGUAAUACGUAUGUCACAAGCGUUAUCCGGAUUUAUUGGGCGUAAAGCGCGUCUAGGCGGCUAUGUAAGUCUGAUGUGAAAAUGCGGGGCUCAACUCCGUAUUGCGUUGGAAACUGUGUAGCUAGAGUAUCGGAGAGGUAAGCGGAACUACAAGUGUAGAGGUGAAAUUCGUAGAUAUUUGUAGGAAUGCCGAUGGGGAAGCCAGCUUACUGGACGAAUACUGACGCUAAAGCGCGAAAGCGUGGGUAGCAAACAGGAUUAGAUACCCUGGUAGUCCACGCUGUAAACGAUGAUUACUAGGUGUUGGGGGUC
rnacentral:rRNA from 1 species